rnacentral:lncRNA from 1 species
UUUUCACGAUGAAAUAAAAGAUGUGGAACUACGAUCAUGCUGCGUAUUGGUCCGAUCCUUCUGAAAGCCCAGACAACUAAAAACAAGUAAAUACGUUUUCUGGCGCUCUCAGCUCAGCCCAGAGGUCCGGCUCAGAGUCUCUCUGUCCAUCUGUCUUUCCGUCUGCUGGUGUUUUGACCUCGAAUUCUGUCUUGAAAUCUACAGCUUUAGCUUUAGUGACCUCUACACCUUGACCUUUGGUGACCCCUACCCCAGACAGACAGAGGAGCAACAGCAGAGGAACGACAGAGACAGACUUCUGCAUCUUCAUAUCACAAUCACAGCUUGCUAAUGGAACUGGAGAUCUCCUCUAGAGCAGUGAUGUUUUGGG